rnacentral:rRNA from 1 species
UACGUAGGGUGCGAGCGUUAAUCGGAAUUACUGGGCGUAAAGCGUGCGCAGGCGGCUUUGCAAGACAGAUGUGAAAUCCCCGGGCUCAACCUGGGAACUGCACUUGUGACUGCACGGCUGGAGUACGGUAGAGGGGGAUGGAAUUCCGCGUGUAGCAGUGAAAUGCGUAGAUAUGCGGAGGAACACCGAUGGCGAAGGCAGUCCCCUGGACCUGUACUGACGCUCAUGCACGAAAGCGUGGGGAGCAAACAGG